rnacentral:rRNA from 1 species
UACGGGGGGGGCAAGCGUUGUUCGGAAUUAUUGGGCGUAAAGGGUUCGUAGGUGGCCUGCUAAGUCACACGUGAAAUCCCUCAGCUUAACUGGGGAACUGCGUGUGAUACUGGCGAGCUUGAGUGCAGGAGAGGAACGCGGAAUUCCAGGUGUAGCGGUGAAAUGCGUAGAUAUCAGGAGGAACACCAAUGGCGAAGGCAGCUCGCUGGGACGUGACUGACGCUGAGACGCGAAAGCGUGGGGAGCAAACAGG